rnacentral:rRNA from 1 species
GGAAAAGAAACCAACAGGGAUUGCCUCAGUAACGGCGAGUGAAGCGGCAAAAGCUCAAAUUUGAAAUCCCCCCGGGGAAUUGUAAUUUGAAGGAGGAACGGUUUGGCGUUGUGCACUUCAAAGUCCCUUGGAACAGGGCGCCUUAGAGGGUGAGAGCCCCGUACGAGGUUGCACAAUACCUUUUUACUGUUGCACCGACGAGUCGAGUUGUUUGGGAAUGCAGCUCAAAGUGGGUGGUAAAUUCCAUCUAAAGCUAAAUACCGGCGAGAGACCGAUAGCGAACAAGUACAGUGAUGGAAAGAUGAAAAGCACUUUGAAAAGAGAGUGAAAAAGUACGUGAAAUUGUUGAAAGGGAAGGGCUUGCAAGCAGACACGGUCCUCGUGGCCGGGCCAGCAUCGGUUGCCAGGGGUGGAUAAGGCGGCAGGAAUGUAGCUCACUGAGUAUUAUAUCCUGCUGAGAUACACCCACCGGCGACCGAGGCCUGCGAUUCGUUCUAGGAUGCUGGCGUAAUGGUUGCAAGCCGCCCGU